GAAGAAACUUUCAAGCUGAUACAUCAUGCUAGUAGGUGGUAGUGUCUCUGCACAUCUAAAUGUCACCUGUGGAUCCUGGUGGCAGAACCGUAACUUAACCAGAUGUAUGGCAGCUAUUGACUACGGCCCGAACCUCUGACUGAUCACCUGAGGCGAGCGCU